CAGCAGCAGCCACGGGAAUACGUAGGGUGCAAGCGUUAAUCGGAAUUACUGGGCGUAAAGCGUGCGCAGGCGGUUAUAUAAGACAGAUGUGAAAUCCCCGGGCUCAACCUGGGAACUGCAUUUGUGACUGUAUAGCUAGAGUACGGCAGAGGGGGAUGGAAUUCCGCGUGUAGCAGUGAAAUGCGUAGAUAUGCGGAGGAACACCGAUGGCGAAGGCAAUCCCCUGGGCCUGUACUGACGCUCAUGCACGAAAGCGUGGGGAGCAAACAGGAUUAGAUACCCCCGUAGUCCCUGUCUCUUAUAC
rnacentral:rRNA from 1 species